rnacentral:rRNA from 1 species
UACGUAGGGUGCAAGCGUUUGUCCGGAAUUAUUGGGCGUAAAGAGCUCGUAGGCGGUUUGUCGCGUCUGCUGUGAAAACGCGAGGCUCAACCUCGCGCCUGCAGUGGGUACGGGCAGACUAGAGUGCGGUAGGGGAGAUUGGAAUUCCUGGUGUAGCGGUGGAAUGCGCAGAUAUCAGGAGGAACACCGAUGGCGAAGGCAGAUCUCUGGGCCGUAACUGACGCUGAGGAGCGAAAGCGUGGGAGCGAACAGG